rnacentral:rRNA from 1 species
GAUGAACGCUGGCGGCGUGCCUAAUACAUGCAAGUCGAGCGAACAGAUGAGGAGCUUGCUCCUCUGACGUUAGCGGCGGACGGGUGAGUAACACGUGGAUAACCUACCUAUAAGACUGGGAUAACUUCGGGAAACCGGAGCUAAUACCGGAUAAUAUAUUGAACCGCAUGGUUCAAUAGUGAAAGACGGUUUUGCUGUCACUUAUAGAUGGAUCCGCGCCGCAUUAGCUAGUUGGUAAGGUAACGGCUUACCAAGGCAACGAUGCGUAGCCGACCUGAGAGGGUGAUCGGCCACACUGGAACUGAGACACGGUCCAGACUCCUACGGGAGGCAGCAGUAGGGAAUCUUCCGCAAUGGGCGAAAGCCUGACGGAGCAACGCCGCGUGAGUGAUGAAGGUCUUCGGAUCGGAAAACUCUGUUAUUAGGGAAGAACAAAUGUGUAAGUAACUAGGCACGUCUUGACGGGACCUAAUCAGAAAGCCACGGCUAACUACG